AUGGUAACAGGACUGGAUUGCUCAGUUGGCUUAAAGGAUACAUAUUUUAAAGUUGGCCGCUUGCUCUUAUCCGAGUUUGAUUGUUUUGAUUUUGCAUUUCUUCAUACUGUUCGUGUGAUGCUUUGGAUUGCCAACACAUUUCAUGUUACUUCAUAUCCAACCCUCUUACCUGUUACGAAGCCAUCUUGUAAGAACAAGGCCUUGACCAGUCUUGAUGAGUUACUGAAUCAUUAUUAUCCAAGAACUGUCAGGAACAUCAAAGAUGAAAGGAGCCCCCCUCUCCCCUGCAGGGAUGCCAGCACACCACUUCCCCUAGCACAGUUGAAGCCUAUCGGCCCUCAGCAGCAGUGGCUCCACCAAGUCUUCAGCCUGUGGUUUUGAUGGAGACAAUGAGGGCCUGUGCUCAGGAAAGGAAGUUCACUUGUAAAUCAUCACCAGCAGUGGGGUCUGCUGUAAAGAAGCUGCCUAAUGGGAACUCUGUGUUACUGGGAAUUACAUAAUUGAGCAAUCAUGAGAUAGUAUUGAAGAUCUGUGAGUCAUAGCUUAGGAAGACUGUACCUGAAAGCAGAGGAAUGACUUUGUGGUUAUUGCUUUCAUGUCUGUUAGCUUUGCUUGUAAGGAAAUAUAUUUAAAGCCCUAUGCACCAAAAGAUUACUAUUAUUUUAUUCAGCAUUUGUAAUAUUGGCAUAUGACUAUAAAAUAUAUUUUAGAAGCUCCUUUCUGUAAAGAGAUUUCUAUCCUUAAAGAUGUUACUGUCUUUUUUGAAAUGAUUUUAUGGAAGGAAAAAGGAGUGACCCUGGAAAACUGAUCAAAUAUUUAUAUGUUUUGUGUAAGCUGAAUAUUCUAAGUGAAUGCUUCAAACUCUAUCUGUAAAGUGCUUGAUCAUAAACAGGUCAGGUUUUCCUGGCCAUACUCUGUCUGUACUACUUCUAAGUUUCAUGUAGCAUACAAGCCUCCUUAGACAGUAUGCAAAUAAGUGGUCAUGGCAGAGUGCCAAUAAUACUUCCUUUGUGGAAACAGGUGGUGGACUGCAUUUGGCUUACAAGCCCAUGGCUUGUCAAUUGCUAAACCAUGAAUUAAAGGGGGUGGGAGAAAACCCCUUUAUUUGCUGCCAGAGUUUCUUUAAAUAAAAAUGAACUACUAGUCUGUCA
rnacentral:lncRNA from 1 species